AAUAACCUGCCGCGUUCGCUACCGGCCAUGUCUUUCGCUAGGGGUUUUGUUCCGUUUUGCUCUGCCCGCUGCUGUUAAAGUGUUAUAGACAUUGUCUUAUUUCCCACGAUUUUUUAUUCUCCGACCUGGCCUCCCCGCACUAUUGCAGAAAUGCUAGUGCUAUACCAACGGACGGCGUAGGACUUCAGAUGGGGAUGAGCGGCACAAUCUCCAGGGGCUUCCGAGAUGUCUUGGGUGUUGCGGCCUGUGCUCCUGUAAAAAGGCAGUGGAAUUGCUUUCUUGCUCUCUCCCCAGGACAGAGUUUGGUUUUGCUUUUAGAAUAA
rnacentral:lncRNA from 1 species